UACAGAGGUCUCAAGCGUUGUUCGGAUUCAUUGGGCGUAAAGGGUGCGUAGGUGGCGCCGUAAGUCAGGUGUGAAAUUUCGGAGCUUAACUCCGAAACUGCAUUUGAUACUGCGGUGCUUGAGGACUGGAGAGGAGACUGGAAUUCACGGUGUAGCAGUGAAAUGCGUAGAUAUCGGAAGGAACAUCAGUGGCGAAAGCGGCUUCCUGGACCAGUACCGACGUUCAGGCACGAAAGCGUGGGGAGCAAACAGG
rnacentral:rRNA from 1 species